UACGGAGGGUGCAAGCGUUAUCCGGAUUCACUGGGUUUAAAGGGUGUGUAGGCGGAUUUUUAAGUCAGUGGUGAAAUCUCCGGGCUCAACCCGGAAACUGCCAUUGAUACUAUUAGUCUUGAAUUCUGUUGAGGUAGGCGGAAUAUAUCAUGUAGCGGUGAAAUGCUUAGAUAUGAUAUAGAACACCGAUUGCGAAGGCAGCUUACUAAACAGAUAUUGACGCUGAGGCACGAAAGCGUGGGGAUCAAACAGG
rnacentral:rRNA from 1 species